ACAAGCGGUGGAGUAUGUGGUUUAAUUUCGAUGCAACGCGAAGAACCUUACCUGGUCUUGACAUCCGGAGACCCUUAGGAACUAGGGGUGCUUCCAUCUGGAAGAAUCUGGAGACAGGUGCUGCAUGGCUGUCGUCAGCUCGUGUCGUGAGAUGUUGGGUUAAGUCCCGCAACGAGCGCAACCCUUGCCUUUAGUUGCCAGCAGUUCGGCUGGGCACUCUAAAGGGACUGCCGGUGUUAAACCGGAGGAAGGUGGGGAUGACGUCAAGUCCUCAUGCCCCUUAUGAUCUGGGCUACACACGUGCUACAAUGGCCGGUACAACGGGCAGCGAAGGAGCGAUCCGGAGCGAAUACCUAAAAAGCCGGUCCCAGUUCGGAUUGCAGGCUGAAACUCGCCUACAUGAAGUUGGAGUUGCUAGUAAUCGCGAAUCAGAAUGUCGCGGUGAAUGCGUUCCCGGGUCUU
rnacentral:rRNA from 1 species